GAUUGCUCAGUUGGUUAGAGUGUGGUGCUAAUAACACCAAGGUUGCAGGUUUGCAUAUUCCUGCAUUACA